rnacentral:rRNA from 1 species
GUAGGGAAUCUUCCACAAUGGGCGCAAGCCUGAUGGAGCAACACCGCGUGAGUGAAGAAGGGUUUCGGCUCGUAAAGCUCUGUUGUUAAAGAAGAACACGUAUGAGAGUAACUGUUCAUACGUUGACGGUAUUUAACCAGAAAGUCACGGCUAACUACGUGCCAGCAGCCGCGGUAAUACGUAGGUGGCAAGCGUUAUCCGGAUUUAUUGGGCGUAAAGAGAGUGCAGGCGGUUUUCUAAGUCUGAUGUGAAAGCCUUCGGCUUAACCGGAGAAGUGCAUCGGAAACUGGAUAACUUGAGUGCAGAAGAGGGUAGUGGAACUCCAUGUGUAGCGGUGGAAUGCGUAGAUAUAUGGAAGAACACCAGUGGCGAAGGCGGCUACCUGGUCUGCAACUGACGCUGAGACUCGAAAGCAUGGGUAGCGAACAGGAUUAGAUACCCGAGUAGUCC